rnacentral:rRNA from 1 species
CGCUGGCGGCAGGCCUAACACAUGCAAGUCGAGCGGUAGAGAGGUGCUUGCACCUCUUGAGAGCGGCGGACGGGUGAGUAAUGCCUAGGAAUCUGCCUGGUAGUGGGGGAUAACGCUCGGAAACGGACGCUAAUACCGCAUACGUCCUACGGGAGAAAGCAGGGGACCUUCGGGCCUUGCGCUAUCAGAUGAGCCUAGGUCGGAUUAGCUAGUUGGUGAGGUAAUGGCUCACCAAGGCGACGAUCCGUAACUGGUCUGAGAGGAUGAUCAGUCACACUGGAACUGAGACACGGUCCAGACUCCUACGGGAGGCAGCAGUGGGGAAUAUUGGACAAUGGGCGAAAGCCUGAUCCAGCCAUGCCGCGUGUGUGAAGAAGGUCUUCGGAUUGUAAAGCACUUUAAGUUGGGAGGAAGGGUUGUAGAUUAAUACUCUGCAAUUUUGACGUUACCGACAGAAUAAGCACCGGCU